rnacentral:rRNA from 1 species
GACGAACGCUGGCGGCGUGCCUAAUACAUGCAAGUUGAGCGCUGAAGGUUGGUACUUGUACCAACUGGAUGAGCAGCGAACGGGUGAGUAACGCGUGGGGAAUCUGCCUUUUAGCGGGGGACAACAUUUGGAAACGAAUGCUAAUACCGCAUAAAAACUUUAAACACAUGUUUUAAGUUUGAAAGAUGCAAUUGCAUCACUCAAAGAUGAUCCCGCGUUGUAUUAGCUAGUUGGUGAGGUAAAGGCUCACCAAGGCGAUGAUACAUAGCCGACCUGAGAGGGUGAUCGGCCACAUUGGGACUGAGACACGGCCCAAACUCCUACGGGAGGCAGCAGUAGGGAAUCUUCGGCAAUGGACGAAAGUCUGACCGAGCAACGCCGCGUGAGUGAAGAAGGUUUUCGGAUCGUAAAACUCUGUUGGUAGAGAAGAACGUUGGUGAGAGUGGAAAGCUCAUCCAGUGACGGUAACUAACCAGAAAGGGACGGCUAACUACGUG